GACUGGACAUUGAUUGUAGGGACGUACGUAAGCAAGGUAGCUAAUGGUCUGUGAGACAAUGCUAAUGUAAGGCAACAGUUAAGCUAAUUAAUGCAACCGUGAUAAGUACGAAGGAGGAAGUUGUUUUUAAUUUAGUAGAAAUGUGUUUGUUAUUCCCCGUUGUAAGUUAACCGUUUUUCUCUUUAGCUGCUUUUAUGUUUUCUGGUGUUAACGUUGACAUACGUCUAAAGUUAGCUUGACCUGCUGGGUAACAUUCGCUUAACGUGACUUCAAGCACGAAAAACGUAACGUCAUUAGAAGUUUUCUUUGGUUAAAAAUAAUAGUCUUCAGCCGCCCGUACAGAUGCCUCGUUUGGAAAAGUCAAAUGGCAGAGGGACAAAAAGACUAAAGCUAGACUGGAAGUUUGUUCAGAGGUUCUGCAGCAUCCAGAAGGUCCUGUUCCCAUCAUGGACCAGUCAAAGUGCUCUGAUGUUUGGGACGCUGCUUGUUGUCACUCUGACAGAGCAGCUGAUCAUUUACCAAGUGGGUGUCCUCCCUAGCCACUUCUACAGUGUGCUGGCAGAGAAAGAUUACCCAGGCUUCAGGAGUCUGGUGGGGACAGCUAUGGUGCUCAUCUUGCUCAACUCCACAUUGAAAAGUAUCGACCAGUACAUUUGCAAUCAGAUGUAUGUAAGCUGGAGGAGGACGCUAACUGAGAGCCUUCAUACGUCCUACUUCCAGGGCCGAGUCUAUUACACUCUCAACGUACUCAAAGAGGAUAUAGACAACCCAGACCAGCGAAUCAGUCAGGACGCAGAGAGGUUGUGUAAGCAGAUGAGCACCAUGGCUAGUCGUUUGAUUGUGUCACCGUUCACACUGGCUUACUACACUUACCACUGCUUUCAUAGCACUGGUUGGAUCGGCCCUGUAAGUAUCUUUGGCUACUUUGUUGUGGGAACCAUUGCCAAUAAAAUCCUCAUGGGGCCGAUUGUGUCAACUCUGUUUGAGCAAGAAAAACUGGAGGGAGACUUCAGAUUCAAGCACAUGCAGAUCCGUGUCAAUGCAGAGUCUGCAGCUUUUUACAGAGCCGGUAAAGUGGAGCAUAUGAGGACCGACCGCAGACUGCAGGCUCUGUUACAAACUCAGAAGAGUCUAAUGAACAAAGAGCUCUGGCUUUACAUCGGGGUAAACACCUUUGACUACGUUGGAGGUUUCCUUAGCUACAUUAUAAUUGCCAUUCCCAUCUUUACUGGUAUCUAUGAUGGUCUCACACCUGGUGAGCUCAGUGCACUCAUCAGUAAGAACGCCUUUGUGUGCAUCUACUUGAUAAAUGGCUUCACGCAGCUAAUAGACCUGUCAACCACUCUGUCGGAUGUGGCUGGAUACACCCACAGGAUAGGCGAGCUGAGGGAGGUGAUGGAUGACAUCCUCCGUAAGCAGUGUGACUAUGACCCGGCAUCAGGGGAAAGCUAUGACUUUGACAGUGACUUCAACGUCCACGCAGGCCCUGUGGACACUGCCUUCAUCCUGGACCAUCUUUCAUACAAAUCUCCUUACUCAGAUGAGCUGCUGGUGGAGGAUUUGAGUCUGAAAAUCAGCCAGGGAACACAUCUACUGGUGGUGGGGAACACAGGCACCGGCAAGACGUCCCUACUGAGGGUCCUCAACCGACUCUGGGAGGCACACAGUGGUUUUGUCCAGAUGACCACAUGUUUCGGGCCCAGAGGAACCCUCUUUCUGCCACAGAAACCUUACCUGACUGAUGGCACACUGCGUGAACAGGUGAUCUACCCACUGAAGGAUAUUUACCCUGCAUCAGGGUCAGUGGACGAUGACAGAAUUAUACAAUUCCUGGAACUAGCAGGAGUGUCCAGUCUCCUAAAGCGGACAGGUGGGCUGGAUGAAAAGGUGGACUGGAACUGGUAUGAUGUUCUGUCUCCAGGUGAAAUGCAGCGUCUCUGCUUUGCACGACUCUUCUACCUGCAGCCCAAAUAUGCAGUGCUGGAUGAGGCCACCAGUGCUCUGACGGAGGAAGCAGAAGCACAGCUGUACAGAACCUGUAAACAGCUCGGCAUGACUUUGGUCACUCUGGGACACCGCAGCAGCCUGGAGAAGUACCAUGACGUCCAGUUGAAACUGUGUGGAGGAGGCCUGUGGGAGUUGACAAAGUUAAAAGGAGGAAGUGGGAGACUAAGAGAAGAAGCCACAUGACUGGACAGUCAUCUCUUUGAAAUCCUGGACAUCCAUGAUGCAUCAGUGUGGGAGACAAAGAUAGAAAACACUUCUGAAUUCCUCAGUUAGUAACACUCAAGUGCUCUUCAAUAAGAGCUCACGGUGGCCUUGGAUGAUCUCUUCAACUGCUGCAGGAUCAUCCAGCGUGCUGAGGUCACCCAACCCGUUCAAGUCUCGCUCCACCACUUUCCGCAGCACCCGCCGCAUUAUCUUACCUGAGCGGGUCUUCGGCAGCCGAUGGACGAACUGUGAGAAUGACAUAAUGUGACUAAGUAAAACGUAGUCUUAAAUGUCUUUUUGCUAUUUAAAGUCAGUGAGAUAGAAUCACCUGGAUGAAGUCUGGACAGGCGUACUUGGCAAUCUUUUUAGAUACCAUGUUGUUUAGCUGCCGAGACAGGUCCUCCUCUUGAACGUUCACACCCUGUUUUAGCACCACAAAGGCAUACACACCUAAGGGCACCGAGAGAAGUCUUUACUAUGAUGGACAUUCUUAGUGGCAAACAAUUUUUUGACUCUUAACACUGGAAAAAACGUUUUCUUGCUCACCUUGUCCUUUGAUGUCAUGUGGGUAUCCUAUGAUAGCAGACUCAGCCACUACAGAGUAUUGAUUCUGUUACGGAAGUCACAAUCAGGAUCAUCGGAAAUAUGCAACUGUUAAAAACCCCAUAAAUGUCUCUUUGGUUAAACAUUGGAGAAAGUACCUAAAGUGGCACUUUUAAUGAAAUUGAAAAUACGUUAA